rnacentral:rRNA from 1 species
AUGAACGCUAGCUACAGGCUUAACACAUGCAAGUCGAGGGGCAGCAUGGUCUUAGCUUGCUAAGACUGAUGGCGACCGGCGCACGGGUGAGUAACACGUAUCCAACCUGCCGUCUACUCUUGGACAGCCUUCUGAAAGGAAGAUUAGUACAAGAUGGCAUCAUGAGUCCGCAUGUUCACAUGAUUAAAGGUAUUCCGGUAGACGAUGGGGAUGCGUUCCAUUAGAUAGUAGGCGGGGUAACGGCCCACCUAGUCUUCGAUGGAUAGGGGUUCUGAGAGGAAGGUCCCCCACAUUGGAACUGAGACACGGUCCAAACUCCUACGGGAGGCAGCAGUGAGGGAUAUUGGUCAAUGGGCGAGAGCCUGAACCAGCCAAGUAGCGUGAAGGAUGACUGCCCUAUGGGUUGUAAACUUCUUUUAUAAAGGAAUAAAGUCGGGUAUGCAUACCCGUUUGCAUGUACUUUAUGAAUAAGGAUCGGCUAACUCCGUGCCAGCAGCCGCGGUAAUACGGAGGAUCCGAGCGUUAUCCGGAUUUAUUGGGUUUAAAGGGAGCGUAGAUGGAUGUUUAAGUCAGUUGUGAAAGUUUGCGGCUCAACCGUAAAAUUGCAGUUGAUACUGGAUAUCUUGAGUGCAGUUGAGGCAGGCGGAAUUCGUGGUGUAGCGGUGAAAUGCUUAGAUAUCACGAAGAACUCCGAUUGCGAAGGCAGCCUGCUAAGCUGCAACUGACAUUGAGGCUCGAAAGUGUGGGUAUCAAACAGGAUUAGAUACCCUGGUAGUCCACACGGUAAACGAUGAAUACUCGCUGUUUGCGAUAUACUGCAAGCGGCCAAGCGAAAGCGUUAAGUAUUCCACCUGGGGAGUACGCCGGCAACGGUGAAACUCAAAGGAAUUGACGGGGGCCCGCACAAGCGGAGGAACAUGUGGUUUAAUUCGAUGAUACGCGAGGAACCUUACCCGGGCUUAAAUUGCAGAUGAAUUACGGUGAAAGCCGUAAGCCGCAAGGCAUCUGUGAAGGUGCUGCAUGGUUGUCGUCAGCUCGUGCCGUGAGGUGUCGGCUUAAGUGCCAUAACGAGCGCAACCCUUGUUGUCAGUUACUAACAGGUUCCGCUGAGGACUCUGACAAGACUGCCAUCGUAAGAUGUGAGGAAGGUGGGGAUGACGUCAAAUCAGCACGGCCCUUACGUCCGGGGCUACACACGUGUUACAAUGGGGGGUACAGAGGGCCGCUACCACGCGAGUGGAUGCCAAUCCCCAAAACCUCUCUCAGUUCGGACUGGAGUCUGCAACCCGACUCCACGAAGCUGGAUUCGCUAGUAAUCGCGCAUCAGCCACGGCGCGGUGAAUACGUUCCCGGGCCUUGUACACACCGCCCGUCAAGCCAUGGGAGCCGGGGGUACAAGAAGUGCGUAACCGCGAGGAGCGCCCUAGGGUA